GGUAGCCUCCUACCCUCCUCACCUUUAGGUGCUGACUGGAUCAAACAGUUCUUUUGACAGCCUUGAGCUUUCCCUGGCAGGAAUUUACUGGGGCUGCAGUCGCCCUAGAAACAUGGCUUUGGGCUAUGGAAACGAUGCUGUUGAAGUCUCUUAUCGCGGCAGUGGACCGGGUUGUUAACACGUCCAGCGUUCUUCUGCUUUUCUCACAGCCCACCCCUACUUCCAUCUCUGGGAUCUUUGCUGGGAGGCCCCAGGCACGUCCUUGACCUCAGUUGCCAAGUGCACAUGCUGGUGCCUUCCAGGUCGGCCUUUCUCCACCGGGGUCUCCGCCUGUAACUUUCUUCCUCCUCGUCCUUUGAUGGGCUAACCCAUACUCAGCCUCGGCCCUCAGCUGCAGGCUCUAACAAUGCCUCCUAGUCUUUCCCACAUCCCCGCGACCAGGCUGGAGUAUAAUGGCAUGAUCAUAGCUCACUGUAGCCUCAAACUCCUGAGCUCAAGCAAUCCUCCCACCUCAGCCUCCAAACAGCUGGUGGGGACCAAGUUUCUAACACAUGAAUAUUGGGAGACACAUUCAGACCAUUGCAGUGGCCUUAUAAAAAGAGACACAAGAGCUUGCUCUCUGCCAUGUGAGUAUACCACAAGAACACUGCCAUAUGCAAAUCAGAAAGCAGGUGGGCCCUCAUCAGACACCAGAUGUGCCUGUACCUUGAUCUUGAACUUGCCAGCCUUCAGAACUGUAAGAAAGAAAUGUGUGUUGUUUAAGCCACCCAGUCUAUGGUAAUUUGUUACAGCAGCCCAACCAAGAGACCCCAAGCUAUUUAAAAACUCAUCAGCACUGGCUUUUUGCAUCUGGACCCUGAUCUUCUGGUGGGUUUACCAGUUACUUGUAGAGUGUCCCUGUGGUAGUUUUAGGUGUCAACUUGACAGGAUUGAGAGAUGCCUAGAUGGCUGGGGAAACACUGUUUCUGGGAAAUACUGUGUUUUUGGAGGAGAGUGUUGUGUGGCUGAAUUUCCAGGGACACAUUCAGAUCAUGGCAGUGGCAUUAUAAAGAGACACAAAAGCUUUCUUUCUACUCUCUGUCAUGUGAGACUACCACACAAAGACUGCCAUCUGCAAACUAGAAGCAGGUGGGCCCUCCUCAGACACCAGAUCUGCCUGCACCUUGAUCUUGGACUUGCCAGCCCUCAGAACUAUAAGAAAGAAAUGGUAGCACAGCUUGGUCUAAGUUGGAAGGCUGGAGAAACAAGGAAGCAUAUGGUGUAACUAAGUUCCAGGAUAAAGGCUUGAGACCUACUCAGUUGACUGAGUAGGGAAGAUCAACCCUCAAUGUUGGCAGGCACUACACAAUUACCUGAGGGCUCAGAUGGAGCAAAAAGGUGGAAGAAGGGUAAAUUCUGUCUUUCAGAGCUGUGACACCCUUCCCUCAUGCCUUUGGACCACAGAACUCAAGGUUCUUUGACCUUUGGACUCUUAACACUUGCACCAGUGGCCCUCUGGGGCUCUCAAGCCUUUAGCCUUGAACUUAGUUACACCAUGUGCUUCCUUGUUUCUCAGGCCUUCCAAAUUGGAUUGGGGCAGGCCACCAGCUUCUCUGAUUCUCCAGCUUGCAGAAGGCAUA